rnacentral:rRNA from 1 species
CCUACGGGAGGCAGCAGUGGGGAAUAUUGCACAAUGGGCGAAAGCCUGAUGCAGCGACGCCGCGUGAGGGAUGACGGCCUUCGGGUUGUAGACCUCUUUCAGCAGGGAAGAAGCGAAAGUGACGGUACCUGCAGAAGAAGCACCGGCUAACUACGUGCCAGCAGCCGCGGUAAU